AUGCAUUUUGUAGCAUGGAAAUGCUUGAUCCAAAGACUCUAAGUCCUUAUUCCCCAACAGUUGGGACCUAAGGACAUCAUACUCUUUAUCCCGCCAAAAAUCCAACUAAAAACAAGUAAUUUGUCACGUUGCUUUUUCAUUUCAUCCACACCGUCUAUUAUUGGCAUAGCAGCACACAAAGCAACACAUACACUUUUAAAGUCGUAGUAAUAAUCUCUAAGCUCAUGCCCUUUUUAACUAGAACGAUAUACUUCCUAAGAUAACUGAUAUAAUUUUCUCAAAUUACUUGUUCCACUAAACCAUUUGUUCACUAACUCCUACACUUCUUUUACAGUUUGGCAAUGUUGCAUGGACAAAAUAAUUCUCCUAUCGAUGCAAUUAAUUAUACGUGACAGUAAAGCCUUAUCAGUAUUUUUCCAUUCCACC